GGGGGUAUGGCUCAGUGAUAGAGCAUUCGACUGCAGAUCGAGAUAUCUCCGGUUCAAACCCGGGAGUCUUCU